GAGAAAGUCAUAAAGGUUAUGGGGUUGACUUGAAAUUAAUCUGAGAGGGUUCAAUUCCUCCCUUUCUUA
rnacentral:tRNA from 1 species